rnacentral:sRNA from 2 species
GACCUUGCGUCGACAGUCCGCGCGCCAAUUACGGACUGAUGGCUGGUGGCUUAUGCCACCGGCCU